rnacentral:rRNA from 1 species
UACAGAGGGUGCAAGCGUUAAUCGGAAUUACUGGGCGUAAAGCGCACGUAGGCGGUUUUUUAAGUCAGAUGUGAAAGCCCCGGGCUCAACCUGGGAAUUGCAUUUGAAACUGGGGAACUAGAGUGUGUGAGAGGGGGGUAGAAUUCCAAGUGUAGCGGUGAAAUGCGUAGAGAUUUGGAGGAAUACCAGUGGCGAAGGCGGCCCCCUGGCACAACACUGACGCUCAGGUGCGAAAGCGUGGGGAG